GCAUUAAUGGGGUAGUGGUAACCUGGGUCGUUGCCAUUCGAGUACUGACUCGACCCGCCGGGGGUUCGAUUCCCUCUUAAUGCA
rnacentral:tRNA from 1 species